GACGAACGCUGGCGGCGUGCUUAACACAUGCAAGUCGAACGGAAAGGCCCUGCUUUUGUGGGGUGCUCGAGUGGCGAACGGGUGAGUAACACGUGAGUAACCUGCCCUUGACUUUGGGAUAACUUCAGGAAACUGGGGCUAAUACCGGAUAGGAGCUCCUGCUGCAUGGUGGGGGUUGGAAAGUUUCGGCGGUUGGGGAUGGACUCGCGGCUUAUCAGCUUGUUGGUGGGGUAGUGGCUUACCAAGGCUUUGACGGGUAGCCGGCCUGAGAGGGUGACCGGCCACAUUGGGACUGAGAUACGCCCCAGUCCUCUACGGGAGGGCGCAGUGGGGAAUAUUGCACAAUGGGCGGGAGCCUGAUGCAGCAACGCCGCGUGCGGGAUGACGGCCUUGGGGUUGUACACCGCUUUCGCCUGUGACGAAGCGUGAGUGACGGUAAUGGGUAAAGACGCACCGGAUAACUACG
rnacentral:rRNA from 1 species